UUCUAUGGUGAGCUGUACGGGGGCAUCGAAAGAUGCGCCAGUAACCGUUUAGGCUGGUACGCCAACCUCGUACAGUUCACCACCAUC
rnacentral:antisense_RNA from 1 species